rnacentral:rRNA from 1 species
AUUAGAUACCCUCGUAGUCCAUGCCGUAAACGAUGUGUGUUAGACGUUGGAAAUUUAUUUUCAGUGUCGCAGGGAAACCGAUAAACACACCGCCUGGGGAGUACGACCGCAAGGUUAAAACUCAAAUGAAUUGACGGGGACCCGCACAAGUAGUGGAGCAUGUGGUUUAAUUCGAAGAUACGCGCAGAACCUUACCAACACUUGACAUGUUCGUCGCGACUUUAAGAGAUUAAAGUUUUCGGUUCGGCCGGACGAAACACAGGUGCUGCAUGGCUGUCGUCAGCUCGUGUCGUGAGAUGUUGGGUUAAGUCCCGCAACGAGCGCAACCCUCACUUUUAGUUGCCAUCAUUAAGUUGGGCACUCUGAAAGAACUGCCAGUGAUAAGCUGGAGGAAGGUGGGGAUGACGUCAAGUCCUCAUGGCCCUUACGUGUUGGGCUACACACGUGCUACAAUGGUAUCUACAACAGGAAGCAAAACCGCGAGGUUAGGCAAAUCCCUAAAAGAUACCUCAGCUCGGAUUGCACUCUGCAACUCGAGUGCAUGAAGCUGGAAUUACUAGUAAUCGUGGAUCAGCGUGCCACGGUGAAUGCGUUCCCGGGUCUUGUACACACCGCCCGUCACACCAUGGGAGUUGGUUCUACCUUAAGGCAAGGUUUUAAACCCUUGACCACGGUAUAGUCAGCGACGGGGGUGAAGUCGUAACAAGGUAACCGUA